rnacentral:rRNA from 1 species
ACACGACUACAUUAGAUACCCGGGUAGUCCUAGCCGUAAACGAUACUCGCUAGGUGUCGGCCACGGUGCGACCGUUGUCGGUGCCGUAGGGAAGCCGUGAAGCGAGCCACCUGGGAAGUACGGUCGCAAGGCUGAAACUUAAAGGAAUUGGCGGGGGAGCACCACAACAGGUGGAGCCUGCGGUUUAAUUGGAUUCAACGCCGAAAAACUCACCUGCAGCGACUGUUACAUGAAAGUCAGGUUGAUGACCUUACUAGAUUUUCAG